rnacentral:rRNA from 1 species
UGGGGGAUAUUGCACAAUGGGGGAAACCCUGAUGCAGCGACGCCGCGUGGAGGAAGAAGGUUUUCGGAUUGUAAACUCCUGUCGUUAGGGACGAUAAUGACGGUACCUAACAAGAAAGCACCGGCUAACUACGUGCCAGCAGCCGCGGUAAAACGUAGGGUGCAAGCGUUGUCCGGAAUUACUGGGUGUAAAGGGAGCGCAGGCGGACCGGCAAGUUGGAAGUGAAAACCAUGGGCUCAACCCAUGAAUUGCUUUCAAAACUGCUGGCCUUGAGUAGUGCAGAGGUAGGUGGAAUUCCCGGUGUAGCGGUGGAAUGCGUAGAUAUCGGGAGGAACACCAGUGGCGAAGGCGACCUACUGGGCACCAACUGACGCUGAGGCUCGAAAGCAUGGGUAGCAAACAGGA